AACACGUGAGUAACCUGCCCUUGACUCUGGGAUAAGCGUUGGAAACGACGUCUAAUACCGGAUACGAGCUUCAGCCGCAUGGCUAGGAGCUGGAAAGAAUUUCGGUCAAGGAUGGACUCGCGGCCUAUCAGCUAGUUGGUGAGGUAAUGGCUCACCAAGGCGACGACGGGUAGCCGGCCUGAGAGGGUGACCGGCCACACUGGAACUGAGACACGGUCCAGACUCCUACGGGAGGCAGCAGUGGGGAAUAUUGCACAAUGGGCGAAAGCCUGAUGCAGCAACGCCGCGUGAGGGACGACGGCCUUCGGGUUGUAAACCUCUUUUAGCAGGGAAGAAGCGAAAGUGACGGUACCUGCAGAAAAAGCACCGGCUAACUACGUGCCAGCAGCCGCGGUAAUACGUAGGGUGCAAGCGUUGUCCGGAAUUAUUGGGCGUAAAGAGCUCGUAGGCGGUUUGUCGCGUCUGCUGUGAAAUCCCGAGGCUCAACCUCGGGUCUGCAGUGGGUACGGGCAGACUAGAGUGCGGUAGGGGAGAUUGGAAUUCCUGGUGUAGCGGUGGAAUGCGCAGAUAUCAGGAGGAACACCGAUGGCGAAGGCAGAUCUCUGGGCCGUAACUGACGCUGAGGAGCGAAAGGGUGGGGAGCAAACAGGCUUAGAUACCCUGGUAGUCCACCCCGUAAACGUUGGGCGCUAGAUGUGGG
rnacentral:rRNA from 3 species